rnacentral:rRNA from 1 species
UACGAGGGGGGCGAGCGUUGUUCGGAAUUAUUGGGCGUAAAGGGCGCGUAGGCGGUCGGAUAAGUCUUGUGUGAAAUCUUCGGGCUCAACUCGGAGUCUGCACAGGAAACUAUCUGGCUUGAGUGUGGGAGAGGUGAGUGGAAUUCCUGGUGUAGCGGUGAAAUGCGUAGAUAUCAGGAGGAACACCUGUGGCGAAGGCGGCUCACUGGACCGCAACUGACGCUGAGGCGCGAAAGCUAGGGGAGCAAACAGG